rnacentral:rRNA from 1 species
AAUGAACGCUGGCGGCGCGCCUAAUACAUGCAAGUCGAGCGAGAAGACGUAGCAAUACGUUUGUAAAGCGGCGAACGGGUGAGGAAUACAUGGGUAACCUACCCUCGAGUGGGGAAUAACUAGCCGAAAGGUUAGCUAAUACCGCGUACGCUCCUUGGACUUCGGUUCAGGGAGGAAAGCGAUACCGUGGGUAUCGCGCUCUUGGAUGGGCUCAUGUCCUAUCAGCUUGNGGUGAGGUAACGGCUCACCAAGGCUUCGACGGGUAGCUGGUCUGAGAGGACGAUCAGCCACACUGGCACUGCGACACGGGCCAGACUCCUACGGGAGGCAGCAGUAAGGAAUAUUGCGCAAUGGGCGAAAGCCUGACGCAGCGACGCCGCGUGGGGGAUGAAGGUCUUCGGAUUGUAAACCCCCUUUCGGG